UGGGGAAUUUUGGACAAUGGGGGAAACCCUGAUCCAGCCAUCCCGCGUGUGCGAUGAAGGCCUUCGGGUUGUAAAGCACUUUUGGCAGGAAAGAAACGUCAUGGGUUAAUACCCCGUGAAACUGACGGUACCUGCAGAAUAAGCACCGGCUAACUACGUGCCAGCAGCCGCGGUAAUACGUAGGGUGCAAGCGUUAAUCGGAAUUACUGGGCGUAAAGCGUGCGCAGGCGGUUCGGAAAGAAAGAUGUGAAAUCCCAGAGCUCAACGUUGGAACUGCAUUUUUAACUACCGGGCUAGAGUGUGUCAGAGGUGGGUGGAAUUCCGCGUGUAGCAGUGAAAUGCGUAGAUAUGCGGAGGAACACCGAUGGCGAAGGCAGCCUCCUGGGAUAACACUGACGCUCAUGCACGAAAGCGUGGGGAGCAAACAGG
rnacentral:rRNA from 1 species